AGUGGCGGACGGGUGAGUAACACGUAAGAAUUUGCCUUUAGGAGGGGGACAACAACUAGAAAUGGUUGCUAAUACCCCAUAUGCUUUCGAGUGAAAUGGAUUUUUCCGCCUAGAGAGAAGCUUGCGGCUGAUUAGCUUGUUGGUGAGGUAAUGGCUCACCAAGGCGACGAUCAGUAUCUGGUUUGAGAGGACGAUCAGACACACUGGAACUGAGACACGGUCCAGACUCCUACGGGAGGCAGCAGUGGGGAAUUUUCCGCAAUGGGCGAAAGCCUGACGGAGCAAUACCGCGUGAGGGAUGACGGCCUAUGGGUUGUAAACCUCUUUUUCAGGGAGGAAUCAAUGACGUGUACCUGAAGAAUAAGCAUCGGUUAACUCCGUGCCAGCAGCCGCGGUAAGACGGGGGAUGCAAGUGUUAUCCGGAAUCACUGGGCGUAAAGCGUCUGUAGGUGGUCCAAUAAGUCAACUGUUAAAUCUUGAGGCUCAACCUCAAAAUCGCAGUCGAAACUAUUAGACUAGAGUAUAGUAGGGGUAAAGGGAAUUUCCAGUGGAGCGGUGAAAUGCGUAGAGAUUGGAAAGAACACCGACGGCGAAGGCACUUUACUGGGCUAUUACUAACACUCAGAGACGAAAGCUAGGGUAGCAAAUGGGAUUAGAUACCCCAGUAGUCCUAGCCGUAAACAAUGGAUACUAGAUGUUG
rnacentral:rRNA from 1 species